ensembl:ncRNA asRNA:CR45797 antisense RNA:CR45797
AGGCUGAGCAGGCGGCCGUACUGGGAUCUGCCCAUUUUGACGGGGGCGGGCACGAUUCCGGCUCCAACUGCAGUUGGUAAGUUCGCCUUUGCAUUCCUGGCUAACCACUUGCUGCUCUGUGCAAAUCCACGUCGCAUGCACCACCACGGCAUGCGGAGUGUUGGGUGCAGGUGGCUAUGGUAACGGUUCGGCGGUGGAAGGCUGUGUUGAAGCGACCGGGCGGUUCGAUGGUGGAGGCACCUGCCCAAAUGGUGAUUAUAUGAUGUGGACAACCUUAUUUGGCUGCUUUUCCUGACCCGGAGAGUCGUGCAGAGGUGUGUGAGCCUCGUACAGUUUAACAGCAUUGUGAUUCUUGUCUCAUUCAGAAAUGUACAAAAAAAAACAGUGGAUUUUUUAAAAUGAUUCGAAUUAUAAAAUAAACAACACGAAUCUGUAA